GGCGGUAAUCGGGAAAUAAAUUUGAUUUUCUGAAUUCUUCGGGAGCUGUUGACAAAGGACCAGUUAUCCUGUGUCCCUGACAACGUGUCCAUGGAUGCCCCAGCAGAAUUCGCCUAGUUUAGCAGCUGCCUGCAGACACCGGCUUUCAUACUUAAACUGCAUCAGUACUGUAAUCUUUUCCUGCAACUCACAGAGCAGAGAGCUCUGCUGGUCGUUAAUCACACAACACCUUGACCUGGAUCUGGGGGCUGCUGGCUCUGAUGCUGGUUGCUGUGUGACCUUGGAACUGUUCCUUCUCCUCUCUGGACCACAGCUGCCUCAUUCAGAAAAUGAAAGAUUUGGACAAGAUAGUUUUUAAGGUACUUCCCAGAUGUAAAGCUCUCCAUAUAGAUGUCUCUCACUUUAUAAAACCCAACAUCUGAAACAAUAAAUAAAAUCUAUCCUUCUCAAAUACCUUUUUACUUAUGACACAGGCCAAUAAAG